GAAAUGCGAUAAGUAAUGUGAAUUGCAGAAUUCAGUGAAUCAUCGAAUCUUUGAACGCACAUCGCGCCCUUUGGCAUUCCGAGGGGCAUGCCUGUUCGAGCGUCAUUACACCAUUCAAGCCUGGCUUGGUAUUGGGCGACGGGGUGAACCCGCGCCCCAAUUUCACCGGCUGGACGACCCGAUUCUCAGCGUCGUGAUUGAAUUCGCUGCCGGAGAGGGUGGCCCGCGCCGUUAAAACUUCAACAAAGGUUGACCUCGGAUCAGGUAGGGAUACCCGCUGAACUUAAGC
rnacentral:misc_RNA from 1 species